rnacentral:rRNA from 1 species
AUUGAACGCUGGCGGCAGGCUUAACACAUGCAAGUCGAGCGGGGGAGGUUGCUUCGGUAACUGACCUAGCGGCGGACGGGUGAGUAAUGCUUAGGAAUCUGCCUAUUAGUGGGGGACAACAUUCCGAAAGGGAUGCUAAUACCGCAUACGCCCUACGGGGGAAAGCAGGGGAUCUUCGGACCUUGCGCUAAUAGAUGAGCCUAAGUCGGAUUAGCUAGUUGGUGGGGUAAAGGCCUACCAAGGCGACGAUCUGUAGCGGGUCUGAGAGGAUGAUCCGCCACACUGGGGCUGGGGCACGGCCCAGAAUCCUACGGGAGGCAGCAGUGGGGAAUAUUGGACAAUGGGCGGAAGCCUGAUCUAGUCAUGCCGCGUGUGUGAAGAAGGCCUUUUGGUUGUAAAGCACUUUAAGCGAGGAGGAGGCUACUAGUACUAAUACUACUGGAUAGUGGACGUUACUCGCAGAAUAAGCACCGGCUAACUCUGUGCCAGCCGCCGCGGUAAUAC